rnacentral:misc_RNA from 1 species
GUUUCCGUAGGUGAACCUGCGGAAGGAUCAUUACUGAGUGAGGGCCCUCUGGGUCCAACCUCCCACCCGUGUUUAUUAUACCUUGUUGCUUCGGUGAGCCCGCCUCACGGCCGCCGGGGGGCAUCUGCCCCCGGGCCCGCGCCCACCGAAGACACCUAGAACUCUGUAUGAAGAUUGCAGUCUGAGCAAAAACUAAAUAAGUUAAAACUUUCAACAACGGAUCUCUUGGUUCCG